UGACAAUGAGACCUGUAACAUUU
rnacentral:piRNA from 1 species